rnacentral:rRNA from 1 species
AGGAGAUUCCUGUACUGCAUAUGGUCAGAACUGUGGGGACACGGGGUGUUAACGGAAGCCGGGAAAGGAAAGACCGGUCCAAGCACAGGAGGCGUUGCGCAGGCAAAUCCGCGCAAUAAGCCAAAGGUGUGACGGGGAGCGAAAUUAUAGUAGCGAAGUCCGGAUACAUGCUGUCAAGAAAAGCCGCUAUUGCGCCAUAUGUACCCGUACCGUAAACCGACACAGGUGGAUGAGGAGAGAAUCCUAAGGCCGGCGGGAGAAGUGUUGUUAAGGAACUCGGCAAAAUGGCCCCGUAACUUCGGGAGAAGGGGCGCCCAGAAAUGGGCCGCAGAGAAAAGGCUCAAGCAACUGUUUAGCAAAAACACAGGUCUAUGCGAAACCGAAAGGUGAGGUAUAUGGGCUGACGCCUGCCCGGUGCUGGAAGGUUAAGGGGAGAGGUUAGCCGCAAGGCGAAGCUUUGAACUUAAGCCCCAGUAAACGGCGGCCGUAACUAUAACGGUCCUAAGGUAGCGAAAUUCCUUGUCGGGUAAGUUCCGACCCGCACGAAAGGCGUAAUGAUUUGAGCACUGUCUCGACAACACACCCGGUGAAAUUGAAAUACCAGUGAAGAUGCUGUUACCUGCGCCAGGACGGAAAGACCCCAUGGAGCUUUACUCUAGUUUGAUACUGGGACCCGGUAUGACAUGUACAGGAUAGGUGGGAGGCAGAGAAUUAAUGACGCCAGUCAUUAAGGAGCCGCUGUUGGGAUACCACCCUUGUGAUGCCAGGUUUCUAACGAGCUGCCGUGAACCGGCAGGCGGACAAUGUCAGGCGGGGAGUUUGACUGGGGCGGUCGCCUCCGAAAGGGUAUCGGAGGCGCUCAAAGGUUCCCUCAGAAUGGUUGGAAACCAUUCGGAGAGUGCAAAGGCAGAAGGGAGCCUGACUGCGACACCGACGGGUGGAGCAGGUACGAAAGUAGGACUUAGUGAUCCGGUGGUAUAAAGUGGGAUUGCCAUCGCUCAACGGAUAAAAGCUACCCUGGGAUAACAGGCUUAUCACUCCCAAGAGUUCACAUCGACGGAGUGGUUUGGCACCUCGAUGUCGGCUCAUCGCAUCCUGGGGCUGGAGUAGGUCCCAAGGGUUGGGCUGUUCGCCCAUUAAAGCGGUACGCGAGCUGGGUUCAGAACGUCGUGAGACAGUUCGGUCCCUAUCCGGCGCGGGCGUAAGAGAUUUGAGAGGAGCUGUCCUUAGUACGAGAGGACCGGGAUGGACGGACCACUGGUGUAUCUGUUGCACCACCAGGUGCACGGCAGAGUAGCCAAGUCCGGACGGGAUAAACGCUGAAGGCAUCUAAGCGUGAAGCCCCCCUCAAGAUGAGAUCUCUCAUUCGAAAGAAGUAAGACCCCUUGAAGACGACGAGGUAGAUAGGGCAGGGGUGGAAGGGCAGUAAUGUCCGGAGCUGACUGUUACUAAUCGGUCGAGGGCUUGAUC